AUGUAUGCGGCGGCCGGGGACGCACGAUGGGGAGAGAUGGUUUGGAGGGUGGCGCGCGGCGACUGGGGACGCACGGUGGGGAUAGAUGGUGGAGGAGGGUGGCACGCGCCUUGCCUAGGCCUCCUUCCAUGCCGCAGCGGCGGAGUCCAAGCGCUCAUCAUGAGGACGCACUGGCGAGGAGGAUUUGGCGAGCUCCGGCGCCGAUUCCGUUGGCUCCGGCGAGCUCCGGUGCCGAUUCAUUUGGCUCUGGCGAGCUCAUCCCCCUCCUACAGAGGGUGUCCAUUAGAGAUAUUUGAUCCGUUGUGGGUCCCACAUGAUAGUGAGAAGAGUGACAGAUGGUUUUCUCAGUGA
rnacentral:rRNA from 1 species